UUUUCUUCCUCUGUAAAUUGGAAAGCAGUGGGAAAAUUACAAAGUAUCUUUUUAAAACUCGGGUGGUUUGCAUAGCUAUUUGUCUGUUUGAGUUUGUUGUUCCUGUGAUUUAAAAGAUUGUCUCCACUUAACUGGAAAUAAGCCAAAUGUCUAUCAAUAGAGAACUGGUUGCAUCAACUCCGGCAUCUCCACACAAUGCAGUACUAUGAGCUGCAAAAGGAAGGCAGGAUGUUCUAUAUUCAACUGUGGAAGGAUCUCCAGGAUAUACUGUUACAUGAAGGAAGAAGGGUGGAUGAGAUGGAAAAGUUUGCCUGAUGUAAUGGAUCUAGGCGAUGAGUAUCCAUGGCUACCAACCAGAAAUGAUCCUGAGCUUCAGCUAUUGCUCCCUAACUGAGAAUGAGAUGCAAGAGAAGUCUCACUAGGAAAGG
rnacentral:antisense_RNA from 1 species